CCUACGGGUGGCAGCAGUGAGGAAUAUUGGUCAAUGGGAGAGAUCCUGAACCAGCCAAGCCGCGUGAGGGAAGACGGCCCUAUGGGUUGUAAACCUCUUUUGUCGGGGAACAAAACCCGGGACGUGUCCCGGACUGCGUGUAUCCGAAGAAAAAGCAUCGGCUAACUCCGUGCCAGCAGCCGCGGUAAUACGGAGGAUGCGAGCGUUAUCCGGUUUUAUUGGGUUUAAAGGGUGCGUAGGCGGUCCGUUAAGUCAGCGGUAAAAGUGCGGGGAUCAACCCUGUCGAGUCGUUGAAACUGGGAGGCUUGAGUUGGCGAGAAGUACGCGGAAUGCGCGGUGUAGCGGUGAAAUGCAUAGAUAUCGCGCAGAACUCCGAUUGCGAAGGCAGCGUACCGUCGCCAUACUGACGCUGAGGCACGAAAGCGCGGGGAUCGAACAGGAUUAGAUACCCCUGUAGUC
rnacentral:rRNA from 1 species